UUUUCUUCCCAUCAUGUGCCUUGCGGAAGAAAUGCUUGACGUAAUCUGAGUAAAGAACUUGUUUAUAAAUUGGUUUCUCACCACUUGCAACCAAUUCAGGCAAUGGUCCAAUCAUAUCACCAGGUCUUGGAUUCACAAAAAUGGGGACAGAAAUUCUGUUCUUACUUCCAUUGGCGACCACACGAUGCUCAACGCUCCUGUACCUGCCAUUGCUCAAUAUUUGCAAUGCAUCUCCAACAUUGAUCACAAGUGAUCCCUUAAUUGGAGGAACAUGGAUCCAGUCAUCACCCUGGUUUCCUCUUACGAAAAGUCCCCCAAUCUCAUCUUGAAGGAGAAUUGUGAGGGUCGAGACAUCAGAGUGACGCCCUACUCCCACUGUAAGUUCUGGGUUUGGGCAAAUGGGAUAGUAGUUAAGAUUGGUCCUCAUUGAACCCAUCAACAAUGAUUUUUUUGUUUCAUCAACGUCAUCCACAUUUAGACCCUUCAUUAGCACCUGUAACAGCUGUUUAAUGACAACUUCAGACUUCUUCAUGUAAUCUAGUACUUGCUCCCUGGAAAAAAUAAAGAGGUGAUCAAUUAAUAUAUAUUUCUUUAGCUAAUUGUGUGCAUGUCAUGAGGAUGUUUUAUGGUGCAAGAAAAUCUAACAAGUAGUUGGAAUCUUUGUUAUACCUGCAGACAGGAGGCCACAGUGCAGAAGCCUCUUCUUCAGAGACAUAAAACAAACUAAGGUAAUCUUUCCACUCGAGAGCCUUCUCUGCUUGAGGGGUAAAACUUGUGCCAAACCUCACAUUAUUUGAAGUUGAAUGCUCCUUGGAAUACUUAUUUUUAAGCUCAGCGGGUAGCCCAAAGAACCUAUAAGUAGCAUCUUUAACAUUCUCUAGCACUUCAACAGGCACAGCAUGGUUAACAAUCUGGAAGAACCCCCAUUUUGAUGCGGCAUCACAAAUUGAUUUCGCCACUUGGGGGUCUUCCCAUUUUGACAUAUCAAUGAUGGGAAUGGAUUCUUGGGCCAGGAUGUUAGUCAUGCACAUCCUUUCCUCCAAAGGUUGGAUAUAUUGCUUGGGGAGGGCUUUGAGACCUAUUUCAGAUAAUCCCUUCACUCCAUUACCUUGGUUAAUAACGAAAUCAAUGAGAGCUGAGGAAUCACUGAAUGGUUCAGCAAGUGUAGGAGCCAUUGGCCUGAGGAAUUUGAGUUAAAGAGCGAGGUGUUAUUUUUUAUAGAGCUUUGAAAAGUGCUACAAAAGAAGGCAGUGGUGGAGCUAGCUUUCAAUGCACAGCUAUUUAUAUACAAAAUUUUCUUACUUUGAAAAUGGCGCAGGCUCACCAACCCGUGUACUAAUCCUUGCACGAAAUUUCCACCUUCCUUGUUGUGCGCUAAGCCUAAUGGUAAUAGCUGCAUCACCUUAAAAAUUUUCAGUCCAAAUUGGUAGGCAGAGUUCAUAGCGGCUCACUUUUGGAAUUUCCUCACCCUUUUUCCACUUUAGUCUGCACUUUCCUAUGACUUUCUUCGUCUUCAAUUUUGCUAUGCGCUUUUCCAAAAAAAAAACUUAAAAAAUCAUUUUUACUUGUCUUGCCAAAAUUUUCUAUGCUCUUUUUCAAAAAACCCAACAAAGCAGGACCAAAAGUAAUUACUAUUUCAAAUCUUUCUUAAGCAGUCAUAAAAAUUGAAAACCACCCCAUAUCAAUCCCCACCGCAACUUUAUCUAAAUAAACCUUGGUUUUUCAUAUGUAGACAUCUAUUUCUUUCAUUUUUGUUUUCAUCUUCGACAAUCCAAUUUAUGUUCUAACUCUAAUUUGUAAAAUAACAUUUUUAAUUGUCUCCUCAAAUCUUGACCAAAUUAAAUUAUAUUCUUUUCAAAUUUUCUCUCUUUCUCAUUCUUAAUUUCUUUUUUUUUUUUUUACCAAAAGAUAAUAUAAGUAAUUAAAAUUGAAGCGGUAUAUCUUGCAUUAUCAACUUAGUUUUUCUAUUUUUCUUAUAAAAUUACAAUUUUAAUAAAAAUAUUUAACAUGCACCCAGAGUAAAAAAAAAAACCAACAAACAAAUAAAUAAAAAGUCUUUAUUUGGAUAAAUCAAAACAAAUCAUUAUCAUAAAAUAAUUAAUUAAUAUUGGCAAUUCCAUGAAGCUAUGUCAAUUGACAAAAUGUUUCAAUAUAUGAAUAUUACGAAUAUGAAAAUAAUUAAAUCCGUCUCCACUCGAUAAUUUUUUUCAUCACUGAGAUGCAAGAAGUAAAGUGUACCCUUAAUUAAUUUCCCCUUUCAACUAGCAAGAAUUCUAACAUUAAAUUAAAAAAGUGACUCAGCCAACAACUUGUUUAUUAAUUGGGAUAACAAGCAUUAUCAUAAAUGCUUAUCUUACCCAUGGUAAUUUGGUAGCUUAUGUAAUUUGAGUAAUUGAGGUGUAAAUUACUUUGGGUUUCUGUAUUUAAGAUGAAUAUUUAAUUUAAAGGAGAAAUAAUUAGUGUCUAACGACAUUAAUUAGGAGAUAUUGAAAGGAAGAAGUAUAUAAUUAAUGCAUUGCUUUUAUUAAAUUUAUAUAGCAAAAUCAAUGCAUUAAAUGCAGAAUUUUUCUUUAAAUGAUAUUUUAAUUAUUCUUAAUUAAUGUUUAUAAACAUCCAUUAAUCUGACUUUUUUAAGCCUAGUUUUGAAUUCUAUUUUAUUUUUUAUAUGGUAUGAUUGAGUUUAUUACAUCAUUAAUUGAAUAUAAAUGUUAGAGAUUUAUUUAAUAUAAAAUUUUUAUUAAAUUUUUUUCGAUCACAGUUACAAUAUUUUUUUCAAUCAUAAUUACGAUAAUUUUUAUUAUUAUUUUUAAUUUUAUCAAAAUUAAUCUCGUCGCAUAUCCAAAUAGAAUUUUAAUAUACUCUAUUAUUUAAAUGUUGCAUAGUUUUCUUUGUAUGAUUGCAACAUUAUUUAUAUAUUUACAUACAUUUGAAGAAGUCUAAAAUACCAUAACAAAUUACUUAUAUAAAAACUAAAACUAAUAAAGUUCAUAUUAAUUAAAAUUUGUUUUGUGUACAAAAUAUAUCAAAUUAAUAUAAAGUUUAUUUCUUUUAACUAUAAUAUAAAUUAAAAAAUUCAAUGUAAAUUAUAAUCUUUUUAUUUAUAGAAUAUAGAAAUUAAUUUAAUGAAUGACUUUCAAUAAAAUUAGAAUUCUUAUUUAUAAAUUGAAUGAAUCUUGUAUUAUUUAUAAAUAAAAAUAUACUUAACAAAUAUAAAUAUUGCUUUCAUAAAUAAAAAUAUAGAUGUGGAAAUAACUAAAACGAAUAAAGUGCAUUAACAUGUUGAAUUAAAUUUAUGAAAUGCACUAAUAUCAUUUUUGUCAACCAACAUGGGUGCUUUUAUAUAUAUAUUAUACUUAAUAUAUAUGAUUUGAAUUUUCAAAAUUAAUUAAUGUAAAAAUAAAAAAAUGGGGUACCUGUAUUAAACACAUACGUAAGCCGUAUACUAUUCAGAAUCCAUGUAUUGAAUUUUCAUAUCUUUUUGGUUAUUUUCAUUUAAAAAAAAAAAGAAGCAGCUUUCAUAAGGAGACUAUAGGUAGUACAAAAAAUAGGAGAUUAUUGGUAAUAUAUUUGAAAAUUAUUAGCAAGGAGAAGUGGAGAAAGAACAAUAAAACAAGUGAUUUCAGUGUCGUACAAGAUACAUAUUUUUGCACAGAAUGGCUAGCUUUUCUAAUAUCCUGAAGCAUAUUAUAAGCUUUUAUGCUAACAGUUUAUUCUUAUCAGCCAUUUUCCCAUCAAAUAAAUCUACAAUAGCUUACAAUAUUUGGAUGAGAUGUUUAUAAUUCAGCAAAUUCAACUGUUUUCUUCCCAUCAUGUGCCUUGCGGAAGAAAUGCUUGACGUAAUCUGAGUAAAGAACUUGUUUAUAAAUUGGUUUCUCACCACUUGCAACCAAUUCAGGCAAUGGUCCAAUCAUAUCACCAGGUCUUGGAUUCACAAAAAUGGGGACAGAAAUUCUGUUCUUACUUCCAUUGGCGACCACACGAUGCUCAACGCUCCUGUACCUGCCAUUGCUCAAUAUUUGCAAUGCAUCUCCAACAUUGAU
rnacentral:lncRNA from 1 species